AUUGAACGCUGGCGGCAGGCCUAACACAUGCAAGUCGAACGAGUGGCGGACGGGUGAGGAAUGUCUGGGAAACUGCCUGAUGGAGGGGGAUAACUACUGGAAACGGUAGAUAAUACCGCAUACCAUCGGAUGUGCCCAGAUGGGAUUAGCUAGUAGGUGGGGUAACGGCUCACCUAGGCGAAGAGCCCUAGCUGGUCUGAGAGGAUGACCGGCCACACUGGAACUGAGACACGGUCCAGACUCCUUCGGGAGGCAGCAGUAGGGAAUAUUGCGCAAUGGGCGCAAGCCUGAUGCAGCCAUGCCGCGUGUAUGAAGAAGGCCUUCGGGUUGUAAAGUACUUUCAGCGGGGAGGCGUUACCCGCAGAAGAAGCACCGGCUAACUCCGUGCCAGCAGCCGCGGUAAUAC
rnacentral:rRNA from 1 species